rnacentral:misc_RNA from 1 species
GAUGAAGAACGCAGCGAAAUGUGAUAAGUAAUGUGAAUUGCAGAAUUCAGUGAAUCAUCGAAUCUUUGAACGCACAUUGCGCCCCCUGGUAUUCCGGGGGGCAUGCCUGUUCGAGCGUCAUUACAACCCUCAAGCUCUGCUUGGUAUUGGGCCCCGCCAGUUCUGGCGGGCCCUAAAGUCAGUGGCGGUGCCUUCCGGCUCCGAGCGUAGUAAUUCUUCUCGCUCUGGAGACCCGGUUGUGUGCUUGCCAACAACCCCCAAUUUUUUAAGGUUGACCUCGGAUCAGGUAGGGAUACCCGCUGAACUUAAGCAUAUCAAUAAGCGGAGGA